GCUUCGGUGGCACAGUGGAUAGCGCGAUCCCCCCCUAAGGGAUAGGUCGGUGUUUCGAACCCUCCCCGGAGUG